rfam:Streptomyces autolyticus strain CGMCC0516, complete genome.
AGACCCCUACCUUUACUCGGAUCGUCCGGCACGUUCCUGCCGGUGAAGGGACAUAUCA